GUUGAAACACUGGUUUCCGUACGAUCACUGAAGUUAAGCAACGUUGAGACUGGUCAGUACUUAGAUGGAUGACUGCAUGGGUAUACAAGUUGCUGUAAG